CCGAUGUCUCUGGGAGAAGGUAC
rnacentral:piRNA from 1 species